AUGACCUUAGUUGAACAGGAUCUUUUCUAUAGGCUCGUACCACUGUAUCCUUGAGUUCCAAGGAGACUGGAAACCAAGUCCGGUGGAUGAACCGUGGCUAUGAGACUAGAGCGUGAUUAACAGCCUCCAUGGUCUUUGGGUCAUGGUGCCAUAGAUGAUCGUUCUCUGCCUGGUCCACUGGGCUUGAGAUGGUCUCGUGGCAAUCUGACAGACU